UCUUAUUAUAAUAUACAGGAGGCGGAUAUGGCCCUAGGUCCACAUGACAUCACGCUCAUUAGAACGACGGCCAUCGACUACACCUCCCCGAUAUUCACCGACGCCAGGCAGUUCAUUUUAGCCUAGAAUCGAGCCGAGGUCGAUCCCUGGGGGUUCAUGCUCCCUCUCACACCCACCGUCUGGUAUAGGGGCCCUCAUAGCCCUCUUGGUCAUUAGCAUAGUGACGGUCGCCAUCGGACGAAAUCACCAAGGAGACCCAACGCCCGUCUUCGCUAUGGCGGUCUUCUUCCACACCUACAGGAUGUUCGUGAAUCAAGGUAUUACGAUGAAACUCCAGCUCGUUUCUGAGAGGAUCGUCGUCCUGAGCUGGCUCGUGGCGGCGAUGAUCAUCAGCUGGAGCUACAGUACGAACCUGAUGUCCCUCUUGGCUGUGAGGUAUGCCCCGAGACCCGUGCAAACGAUCAGAGACCUGAUUGACGACCACCACCUCAUUGCCAUUUUCCCUAGACGCACGGCUCUGAGCGAUUACGUCCUGAGUCAGGAGAGCGGCAUCCUGAAGGAGGUAGCAGACCUGAGGAACGUCGGGAGGUACAUGAGCCUCCACUACAACGACUUCCCCGAGGCUCUCGAGACCCUGGUCCGACGGGGGGACCAUGCCAUCGCCACUUGUACCACCGAUGCGGUCAACAUCAUCGCUAAAUAUUUCUCCG